UAAGGAAUAUUGGUCAAUGGACGCAAGUCUGAACCAGCCAUGCCGCGUGGAGGAUGAAGGUCCUCUGGAUUGUAAACUUCUUUUAUCGGAGAAGAAACCCUUAGAUUCUUCUGAGGUUGACGGUACCCGAUGAAUAAGCACCGGCUAACUCCGUGCCAGCAGCCGCGGUAAUACGGAGGGUGCAAGCGUUAUCCGGAUUCACUGGGUUUAAAGGGUGCGUAGGUGGGUUGGUAAGUCAGUGGUGAAAUCUCCGGGCUUAACUCGGAAACUGCCGUUGAUACUAUCAAUCUUGAAUCUCGUGGAGGUAAGCGGAAUAUGUCAUGUAGCGGUGAAAUGCUUAGAUAUGACAUAGAACACCGAUAGCGAAGGCAGCUUGCUACACGAGCAUUGACACUGAGGCACGAAAGCGUGGGGAUCAAACAGG
rnacentral:rRNA from 1 species